GCAGGACCAUGUAAAGCCAGACCCACGAAUGUUCGGCAGUCUCUAUGCGAACCACCAUCUCAGCUCUGCCUUCUCCUCCCUCUCUCACUAAGCGGGGAAAGAAACACAGGUUUUUCAGGAGUGAUACUCACACAGACUGCAGUGCUGAGCAGAGGCAUGUGAAAGAUCUUGGGGAUGUAGGAAGCUAUACCAGGAUUGGGCCCGAAGAGUCUCCACAUUCACACCCAAAUAAACGUUUACGCUGAAAGUUGAUAAAGAGAAUCAAGGUCUUCAUUCUGCCUCUUGAAAGAAAGGAGCUAACCUGUCGCCUAGCAACACCUCCUACUCCUGCUGGAGCUAGUAAGAGAGAGAAGAACAGGAUGGAUGGAAGCUGUCUGUGAAACUGAUGAGGCUGAUGGAGAGCGGAUGUGAAAAGUGUUAUAGGCUCCAGGAUAGACGAUGGUUGCCUGGAUCUGAAAGAUAUCUGAGGGAACAGAGCGUUCGGAGGUGAUACUCAUGUGGCGAUGCACAACGG